rnacentral:rRNA from 1 species
UCCUACGGGAGGCAGCAGUGGGGAAUAUUGGGCAAUGGGCGAAAGCCUGACCCAGCAACGCCGCGUGAAGGAAGAAGGUCUUCGGAUUGUAAACUUCUUUUAUCAGGGACGAAGGAAGUGACGGUACCUGAUGAAUAAGCCACGGCUAACUACGUGCCAGCAGCCGCGGUAAUACGUAGGUGGCAAGCGUUAUCCGGAUUUACUG